rnacentral:rRNA from 1 species
UGGGGAAUAUUGCACAAUGGGCGCAAGCCUGAUGCAGCCAUGCCGCGUGUGUGAAGAAGGCCUUCGGGUUGUAAAGCACUUUCAGCGAGGAGGAAGGUGGUGAGCUUAAUACGCUCAUCAAUUGACGUUACUCGCAGAAGAAGCACCGGCUAACUCCGUGCCAGCAGCCGCGGUAAUACGGAGGGUGCAAGCGUUAAUCGGAAUUACUGGGCGUAAAGCGCACGCAGGCGGUUUGUUAAGUCAGAUGUGAAAAUCCCCGGGCUCAACCUGGGAACUGCAUUUGAAACUGGCAAGCUAGAGUCUCGUAGAGGGGGGUAGAAUUCCAGGUGUAGCGGUGAAAUGCGUAGAGAUCUGGAGGAAUACCGGUGGCGAAGGCGGCCCCCUGGACGAAGACUGACGCUCAGGUGCGAAAGCGUGGGGAGCAAAACAGGAUUAGAUACCCUGGUAGUCCACGCUGUAAAACGAUGUCGAUUUUGGAGGUUGUGCCCUUGAGGCGUGGCUUCCGGAGCU